rnacentral:lncRNA from 1 species
CGGGUGUUUCCUUGUUCCGAAUCGGGUUGGCUCCUCUUUGAUUUUUUACUUCUGGUGUCCCACGCAAAAGCAGUCCCGACCUGGUUGUAUUAAUAAUAAAGGCUGUAAGGAUCAGCCUUUUGAACGGUCCAGCCGAGAACUAACCACAGAGCGCGUUUUAGUGGAGAGGUACUUAUUUUUAAAUAAGAACGCAAGACUAUAUUUACUAGCAGCUCUGUGUCCUUGCUCAUUGGAAAAUGAUCUUUUCCUCAAGACUUACUGACACGUUUCUGUUUAAGGCAUGACAAUCCUAAAGGCCAACAAUUGUGGACGGGGGCAACUCUUCUUUUCAUUAUGUACUGGUGUAGUCAAUUAUGCAAAGUCUGGUCAACCAAAGACACCAGGCUCAAGCCAUCAGUUU